GGUCACAUUGCGUUGAAACACAAGUUCCCACACUAUCACCAAAGUCAAGCAACAUUGAGCCUGGUUGGUACCUAGAUGGGUGACUUCUUGGAAAUACCAGGUGCUGUAAG